AUGAAGACUGAGCUUCAAGUGGAUGCCUCUGGAAAGGUGCUCGUUUCGGCUCCCAAGACGCCGGCCGGUGAUUCCAAUCGACGCCUGCACCCGAACGACCACAAGCGCAAGGCCCCUAUGCCGCCUUCCAGCAGUCGGCAAGUAGCCACGGUCGAAGAAGAACAACCUGAAGAGCGGCCCAUGCCCAAGAAGCAGAAGGGCGGCAGGCCGGCUUGGCAGCCGGCUUUCUCCUACGAGCAAACCCUUGAUGCCCCCUGCAAGUUCCACAGCGGCGCGAAGCCGUCCAACCAUACGACUUGGAAGUGUCAUUGGCUCACGCGAAUCUCCAAAGGCGAGGGACUGGUGCCGCCUCCACCUGUUGGCCAGCCGCCUCCAGCCCCUCAACAGCCGGCUGCUCGACCAGCAGUUGGAGCCAUUCAAGAUGAGUUCCCGAACGAGCAUGCCGCCUACGUCGUCUUCACAAGCCAAGCUGAAGACAGACGUAGUCGGCGCCGACAACAGCAAGAAGUCAACGCGGUCGUCUCCAACAACCCAGAGUUUAUGCAUUGGUCUGAGAAGCCUAUUAGCUGGAGCCGGGCCGAUCACCCAGAGGUGAUGCCGUCUCCCGGCUCUUACGCGUUGGUAUUGGACGCCACCCUCACGACAGAAAGACGAGCUGCCCGUUUCUCCCGAGUACUGAUUGACGGAGGGAGCAGCAUCAACAUAUUGUACCGUGACACCAUGGAGAAGCUGAACAUCAAGACGAAGCAACUCAUGCCAAGCUGGACUGUGUUCCACGGCAUCGUACCCGGCCUGUCCUGCUCACCAAUCGGCAAGAUCAAGAUAGAUGUUCUCUUUGGAGACAAGGAUCACUUCCGCCGAGAAGCAGUCUGGUUUGAAGUGGUGGAUCUAGAGAGCCCUUACCACGCGUUGCUUGGCCGACCUGCCUUGGCCAAGUUCAUGGCUGUGCCCCACUACGCCUACCUCAAGAUGAAGAUGCCUAGUUCGAAGGGAAUCAUCACCAUAGCCGGAGACUACAAGAAAUCCUCCGAGUGUGCUGCAGCCAGCAGCCGGCUGGCCGAGUCCCUCGUGAUUGCCGAAGAAAAGAAGAUGCUGGACCGAGUCGUGGCCAUGGCCGGCAAGCAGCCGGCCCUGUCCCCUGACCCCAAGGAGUAUGAUGCUCAAGGCUCCUUCCAGCCGGCCAAGGAAACAAAGAAGAUACUUCUGGACCCAGAGAACCCGGAGAGGUUUGCCGUCAUAGGUGCGAACCUUGACAGCAAAUAG
rnacentral:rRNA from 1 species